rnacentral:rRNA from 1 species
AUUGAACGCUGGCGGCAUGCCUAAUACAUGCAAGUCGAACGGUAACAGGCCCUUCGGGGUGCUGACGAGUGGCGGACGGGUGAGUAACGCAUAGGAAUCUGCCUAGUAGUGGGGAACAACCUGGGGAAACUCAGGCUAAUACCACAUAAGUCCUACGGGAGAAAGAGGGCCUCUUCUUGAAAGCUCUCGCUAUUAGAUGAGCCUAUGCCGGAUUAGCUUGUUGGUGGGGUAAUGGCCUACCAAGGCGACGAUCCGUAGCUGGUCUGAGAGGACGAACAGCCACACUGGGACUGAGAUACGGCCCAGACUCCUACGGGAGGCAGCAGUAUGGAAUAUUGGACAAUGGGCGAAAGCCUGAUCCAGCAAUGCCGCGUGUGUGAAGAAGGCCUGCGGGUUGUAAAGCACUUUCGAUUGGGAAGAAAAGCUUAGGGAUAAUACCCCUGAGUAUUGACAUCAGCAAUAGAAGAAGCACCGGCUAACUCUGUGCCAGCAGCCGCGGUAAUACAGAGGGUGCGAGCGUUAAUCGGAAUUACUGGGCGUAAAGCGUGCGUAGGUGGUUCAGUAAGUCGGAUGUGAAAGCCCAAGGCUUAACCUUGGAAUUGCAUUCGAUACUGCUGAGCUAGAGUACAGUAGAGGGAAGCGGAAUUCUUAGUGUAGCGGUGAAAUGCGUAGAUAUUAAGAAGAACACCAGUGGCGAAGGCGGCUUCCUGGACUGAUACUGACACUGAGGUACGAAAGCGUGGGGAGCAAACAGGAUUAGAUACCCUGGUAGUCCACGCCCUAAACGAUGAGAACUA